rfam:Gossypium hirsutum cultivar TM-1 chromosome 20, whole genome shotgun sequence
UGUUAAAAAUUUCAUCUAUUUGUAUAGUUAAAAACUGGCAUGUAUGAUGGACUAACAAGACAGUGAGCAUGUGAUGUGUACCUCAUGCUAACGUACAAAGACUAGUUUUUAACAGUAGAAAUAGAUGAAAUUUUUAUCA